rnacentral:sRNA from 1 species
GCCGCGCAUAUCGAACCCACAGGGUACA